GCGCUACUAGCUCAACUGGCAGAGCAGCUGACUCUUAAUCAGCGGGUUCGGGGUUCGAGUCCCUGGUGGCGCA
rnacentral:tRNA from 1 species